AAGUCGUAACAAGGUUUCCGUAGGUGAACCUGCGGAAGGAUCAUUACAGUGUUUCCUGCCCUAACGGGUAGAAACCCCACCCUUGUAUAUUAUAUUUUGUUGCUUCGGCAGGCCACUCUUAGAGUGUAGGCUUAGGCUUAUCGUGCCUGUCAAAGGACCUUUAAAUUCUUGUUAUAGUGUCGUCUGAGUACUAUAUAAUAGUUAAAACUUUCAACAACGGAUCUCUUGGUUCUG
rnacentral:misc_RNA from 1 species